rnacentral:rRNA from 1 species
AAAAAAGGUAAGCUACUAAGAGCGAAUGGUGGAUGCCUUGACUGGUAAAGGCGAUGAAGGACGUACUAGACUGCGAUAAGCUACGGGGAGCUGUCAAGAAGCUUUGAUCCGUAGAUUUCCGAAUGGGGCAACCCAAUGUAUAGAGAUAUACAUUACCUAUAUAGGAGCGAACGAGGGGAAUUGAAACAUCUUAGUACCCUCAGGAAAAGAAAUCAAUAGAGAUUGCGUCAGUAGCGGCGAGCGAAAGCGCAAGAGGGCAAACCCAGUGCUUGCACUGGGGGUUGUAGGACUGCAAUGUGCAAGAGGUGAGUUUAGCAGAACAUUCUGGAAAGUAUAGCCAUAGAGGGUGAUAGUCCCGUAUGCGAAAAACAAACCUUAGCUAGCAGUAUCCUGAGUAGGGCGGGACACGAGAAAUCCUGUCUGAAGCUGGGUCGACCACGAUCCAACCCUAAAUACUAAUACCAGAUCGAUAGUGCACAAGUACCGUGAGGGAAAGGUGAAAAGAACUGAGGUGAUCAGAGUGAAAUAGAACCUGAAACCAUUUGCUUACAAUCAUUCAGAGCCCUAUGUAGCAAUACAGGGUGAUGGACUGCCUUUUGCAUAAUGAGCCUGCGAGUUGUGGUGUCUGGCAAGGUUAAGCAAACGCGAAGCCGUAGCGAAAGCGAGUCUGAAUAGGGCGCUUAGUCAGAUGCUGCAGACCCGAAACGAAGUGAUCUAUCCAUGAGCAAGUUGAAGCUAGUGUAAGAACUAGUGGAGGACUGAACCCAUAGGCGUUGAAAAGCCCCGGGAUGACUUGUGGAUAGGGGUGAAAGGCCAAUCAAACUUCGUGAUAGCUGGUUCUCUCCGAAAUAUAUUUAGGUAUAGCGUUGUGUCGUAAUAUAAGGGGGUAGAGCACUGAAUGGGCUAGGGCAUACACCAAUGUACCAAACCCUAUCAAACUCCGAAUACCUUAUAUGUAAUCACAGCAGUCAGGCGGCGAGUGAUAAAAUCCGUCGUCAAGAGGGAAACAACCCAGACUACCAGCUAAGGUCCCUAAAUCUUACUUAAGUGGAAAACGAUGUGAAGUUACUUAAACAACCAGGAGGUUGGCUUAGAAGCAGCCAUCCUUUAAAGAAAGCGUAAUAGCUCACUGGUCUAGUGAUUUUGCGCGGAAAAUAUAACGGGGCUAAAGUAAGUACCGAAGCUGUAGACUUGCGCACAACUUAGAUUAUUUAAGUUUAGAAUAUGAGAAACUAAGUUAUAUGUUUAGUUAUAUUUUUACUGAUUUUUAUAGAGUAAAGAUAGAAAUAAAACUUAGUAAAAUCAGUAAAAAUAUUCUUAGACUAAAGUUAAGUAGUUUAAGUUGUGUGCAAGUGGUAGGAGAGCGUUCUAUUUGCGUCGAAGGUAUACCGGUAAGGAGUGCUGGAGCGAAUAGAAGUGAGCAUGCAGGCAUGAGUAGCGAUAAUUAAUGUGAGAAUCAUUAACGCCGUAAACCCAAGGUUUCCUACGCGAUGCUCGUCAUCGUAGGGUUAGUCGGGUCCUAAGUCGAGUCCGAAAGGGGUAGACGAUGGCAAAUUGGUUAAUAUUCCAAUACCAACAUUAGUGUGCGAUGGAAGGACGCUUAGGGCUAAGGGGGCUAGCGGA